CCUACGGGUGGCAGCAGUGAGGAAUAUUGGUCAAUGGACGAGAGUCUGAACCAGCCAAGUAGCGUGAAGGAUGACUGCCCUAUGGGUUGUAAACUUCUUUUAUAUGGGACUAAAAUGUUCCACGUGUGGGAUUUUGUAUGUACCAUAUGAAUAAGGAUCGGCUAACUCCGUGCCAGCAGCCGCGGUAAUACGGAGGAUCCGAGCGUUAUCCGGAUUUAUUGGGUUUAAAGGGAGCGUAGGUGGAUUGUUAAGUCAGUUGUGAAAGUUUGCGGCUCAACCGUAAAAUUGCAGUUGAAACUGGCAGUCUUGAGUACAGUAGAGGUGGGCGGAAUGCGUGGUGUAGCGGUGAAAUGCUUAGAUAUCACGAAGAACUCCGAUUGCGAAGGCAGUUCACUGGACUGCAACUGACACUGAGGCUCGAAAGUGUGGGUAUCAAACAGGAUUAGAUACCCCAGUAGUC
rnacentral:rRNA from 1 species